GUGCUUGUGGUGUAGCGAUCAUCACAUUCGCUUUACACGCGAAAGUGCCCAGGUUCAAUCCCUGGCAGGCACA